UACAGAGGGUGCAAGCGUUAAUCGGAAUUACUGGGCGUAAAGCGUGCGUAGACGGUUAUGUAAGUCAGGUGUGAAAGCCCCGGGCUCAACCUGGGAAUGGCAUUUGAGACUGCAUAGCUAGGGUGCGGAAGAGGGAAGCGGAAUUUCCGGUGUAGCGGUGAAAUGCGCAGAUAUCGGGAGGAACACCAAUGGCGAAGGCAGCUCGCUGGGACGGUACUGACGCUGAGGCGCGAAAGCGUGGGGAGCAAACAGG
rnacentral:rRNA from 1 species